GCUUUCGUGGUGUAGUGGUCAGCACGCUCGGAGUGUAUAUUCAAGAGGUUCGUGGUUCGAAUCCCGGCGAGGGCG
rnacentral:tRNA from 1 species